rnacentral:sRNA from 1 species
GUGCUACUGUAACCGCUCAUUUCAGGUAUUAAGAACCCAGUGUCGCCUGUAAGUGGCGAGUCUAAGUAAUCAA